rnacentral:rRNA from 1 species
UACAGAGGGGGCAAGCGUUGUUCGGAAUUACUGGGCGUAAAGGGCGCGUAGGCGCCUGUUAAGUCGGACGUGAAAUCCCCGGGCUCAACCCGGGAACUGCGUCCGAUACUGGCAGGCUUGAAUCCGGGAGAGGGAUGUGGAAUUCCAGGUGUAGCGGUGAAAUGCGUAGAUAUCUGGAGGAACACCGGUGGCGAAGGCGGCAUCCUG